AUACGUAGGGUGCAAGCGUUAAUCGGAAUUACUGGGCGUAAAGCGUGCGCAGGCGGUUUUGUAAGACAGUGGUGAAAUCCCCGGGCUCAACCUGGGAACUGCCAUUGUGACUGCAAGGCUGGAGUGCGGCAGAGGGGGAUGGAAUUCCGCGUGUAGCAGUGAAAUGCGUAGAUAUGCGGAGGAACACCGAUGGCGAAGGCAAUCCCCUGGGCCUGCACUGACGCUCAUGCACGAAAGCGUGGGGAGCAAACAGGAUUAGAUACCCUGGUAGUCCACUCCCUAAACGAUGUCAACUGGUUGUUGGGUCUUCAUUGACUCAGUAACGAAGCUAACGCGUGAAGUUGACCGCCUGGGGAGUACGGCCGCAAGGUUGAAACUCAAAUGAAUUGACGGGG
rnacentral:rRNA from 1 species